CCUGGCUCAGGACUCAGUUUGGUUAAGAUCAUGUGUAGUAUCUGUUCUUAUCAGUUUAAUAUCUGAUACGUCCUCUAUCUGAGGACUAUAUAUUAAAUGGAUUUUUGGAACAGGGAGAUGGAAUAGGAGCUUGCUCCAUCCACUCCACGCAUCGACCUGGUAUUGCAGUACCUCCAGGAACGGUGCACCAACC
ensembl:snRNA U2 U2 spliceosomal RNA